GGAGCACUCCCCGCCUGCCCUGGGCUCAUGGAUGUGCAAUUCUCAGAAGUACUUGAUGGAAGGAAGCAAUAUACCACAGCAAGGUUGGGAGCCUCACUCCUGCUGCAGUCCUGGAGGAUGAAACAUUUUAAAUUCAUCUCAAAGCCUUCUCUGUUUUUUUAACUUUGAACAAAGAAAGGUAAAUCUCCUCCUCAUAACUUUACAGAUGUCAAAUCAUGGUUUUGAAGCCCACACUUGAAGUCAUUGUUGGAGCAGUGCAAGACCCCAUCCCUGAAGCAGAGGUCCCUGGCUUUCUCCUGCUCUCCUGCUUGAAUGAGGCAUUGGGAGUGAGAAGUCUGUGGCCAAUGUUUCUUGGUAAAAUUAUGUGGCUAAUUCAAAGCCACUGAACAUAUUGAAG